rnacentral:tRNA from 1 species
GGGAAUGUAGCUCAGUGGUAGAGUGUUUGCCUAGCAAGCAUGAGGCCUUGGGUUUAAUCCCUAGCACCUCCA